rnacentral:ribozyme from 1 species
AGAAUCUAUUGUUAAUAACCUUUUUGUGGUGGAUUCUAUAAGUAUCAUUAAAAAUUAAUGAGAAACUAAAAUUAAC